rnacentral:rRNA from 1 species
AUUGAACGCUGGCGGCAGGCCUAACACAUGCAAGUCGAGCGGAGCGGCGGACGGGUGAGUAAUGCAUAGGAAUAUGACUGGUCGAGGGGGCUAACGUACGGAAACGGGCGCUAAUACCGCAUACUAUUAGAUGAGCCUAGGUCGGAUUAGCUAGUUGGUGGGGUAAAGGCCUACCAAGGCAACGAUCCGUAACUGGUCUGAGUGGAUGACCAGCAACACUGGAACUGAGACACGGGCCAGACUCCUACGGGAGGCAGCAGUGGGGAAUAUUCGACAAUGGGCGAAAGCCUGAUGCAGCCAUGCCGCGUGUGUGAAGAAGGUCUUCGGAUUGUAAAGCACUGUAAGUUGGGAUGCGUUACCAAAAGAAUAAGCACCGGCUAACUACGUGCCAGCAGCCGCGGUAAUAC